rnacentral:rRNA from 1 species
UACGAAGGGGGCUAGCGUUGCUCGGAAUCACUGGGCGUAAAGGGUGCGCAGGCGGUUGUGUAAGACAGAUGUGAAAUCCCCGGGCUCAACCUGAGAACUGCAUUUGUGACUGCACAGCUGGAGUGCGGCAGAGGGAGAUGGAAUUCCGCGUGUAGCAGUGAAAUGCGUAGAUAUGCGGAGGAACACCGAUGGCGAAGGCAAUCCCCUGGGCCUGCACUGACGCUCAUGCACGAAAGCGUGGGAAGCAAACAGG